AAAAUAAAAAAUAAAAAUGCUGCCCCAGAUGGUGUGCCCAUCCAUGUGGAUAAGUGUCACUGAGAAGACUGAAACACACUCUGCGCUCCGCAUCCUCCCUGCUGGACACCCAGCCCUCAAGUGACUCUCUGCUGUCCCUGGUUGUGCCUCCUGCUUGUGUCGCUGCCUGUACUCCUCACAGUCUGCAAGCUUCAUUUGCUCCAAAGACGCUGUUCCUUUUCUGCUUGCUGCAAACCGGGUUGGACGGCAUGGCUGUCGCUUCUCAGCAGUUGUGCUGCACCUCCGGGUAGCUGCCCACCCUGGCCAUAGUUACUCUGCCCCUUCUGUUGACCAUUUGGCCACUGACACUGAGGCUGAAGUUCAUCUCUGAUUAAUAAGGGAUACUAAUGAAGUGGCUCAACCACACAGCAUGUCCUGUGGGACAGGAGAAAUAUGGAGAAUGCAGCACACUUGCUUCCUACCGAAGUAGGUAUUUUCUUUCCAGAUUUCCUUCAGUUGUGAAGUCUGACGAUUUCAAUUUUUUUGGAUGAAAUAGAAAAUGCUCACCUAAAAAUGUAAGUCAGAUUUGUUAAAAUCACUUCCAAAGGAUACUGAUAUGUCAGGUAGCGUUUGCAUACACAAUAAUUUCUUUAAAAUACAUUUUCCAGGUGGAUUUAUUAUUAUAGCCAUAUUGAAAGUAAUUUUCCUUAUUGUGGAGAAAGAUACAAUAGUCUAGCUUAGCCCAAUUCUAUUAACAGGUAACUCUUUUAACCAACUCCUCUUGUUUUGAUUGCAUGCUUAUGUGUGCUAAGCUGCCUUUCUUGGAUGGCCUCCAAAUUAUUACCAUGUCUUGACAUUCAUGCUCUGUUUUAUCUUG
rnacentral:lncRNA from 10 species